rnacentral:rRNA from 1 species
UACGGGGGGGGCAAGCGUUGUUCGGAAUUACUGGGCGUAAAGGGCUCGUAGGCGGCCAACUAAGUCGGAUGUGAAAUCCCCAGGCUUAACCUGGGAACUGCAUCCGAUACUGGAUGGCUUGAAUCCGGGAGAGGGAUGCAGAAUUCCAGGUGUAGCGGUGAAAUGCGUAGAUAUCUGGAGGAAUACCGGUGGCGAAGGCGGCGCCCUGGCUCGCAACUGACGCUCAGACACGACAGCAUGGGGAGCGAACGGG